AGCGAACGCUGGCGGCAGGCCUAACACAUGCAAGUCGAACGAACCUUUCGGGGUUAGUGGCGGACGGGUGAGUAACACGUGGGAACGUGCCUUUAGGUUCGGAAUAACUCAGGGAAACUUGUGCUAAUACCGAAUGUGCCCUUCGGGGGAAGAUUUUUCGCCUUUUGAGCGGCCCGCGUCUGAUUAGCUAGUUGGUUGAGGUAAUGGCUCACCAAGGCGACGAUCAGUAGCUGGUCUGAGAGGAUGAUCAGCCACAUUGGGACUGAGACACGGCCCAAACUCCUACGGGAGGCAGCAGUGGGGAAUCUUGCGCAAUGGGCGAAAGCCUGACGCAGCCAUGCCGCGUGAAUGAUGAAGGUCUUAGGAUUGUAAAAUUCUUUCACCGGGGACGAUAAUGACGGUACCCGGAGAAGAAGCCCCGGCUAACUUCGUG
rnacentral:rRNA from 1 species